GAACUUCCAUAUGCUCCAGGGGUGGACCUAAAAGAAAAAAAUUCAUUCCUGGCACCUGGUAGGCACCAUCGGCUGGUGGGCUGUUUUGAAAUUGUUCAACUCUUGGCAGAUGCAGUGGAGAUAAGGGCUGAGAUGCACCACUGGGUUUAGCAAUUGGGGCCUGUGAUGACUUCAGCAGGGCUGAUCAGGAGGCAGAAGUCAGGCUGCAGCUGAAGCAGGAAGUCAGACCAAGCCUGCUCCUAGCUCAGGACCUCUCCCUUGCUGGUCCCUCUUCUAGAAGGCUCUUUCCAGGGACACGUAAGACCCUGAGGACAGGGGUCAUCUUUGUCUGUACUGGUCACUGUUACAUCGCCUGGGAUACCGGCAAGCUUAAUAAACAUUUGGGGAACUAAUGAACAAACUAA